AAAGAUAACUAUGGUGGCAUUUCUGAUCAUUUAGGCAAUUGAUGCAUCAUGAUCCCUUCUUGACUUAUUCUGUUUUAAAGUCUGAAAUCAAACUGGCUCCUGCAGUGAAAACCACUCCUUGAUCUCUGAAAUUUGAAUUUGCCAUCGUAGCGAGAGCGCCGUCAGGUGGAAUGGGGGUACGGAUACAGCGCGUCCAUUCCAUGAGGUGCGGAAUGCGGUCGGAACGCGCCAUGCAUACCCACCUAGAAAUCAUCGCAGCAAGAAAAAUAUUAGUGUUGCGCACUGCAUACGCACUUCAGACGGAAUGGAUAUGCUGAAGUCCUAAUUCAAACGCUAGAUGGGCGUGACCUAUACUUAUAUCUGUUUAAUCCAAAACGUACGACUGCGUAUUGGCAGAAAUCCGCGCGGACCUCAUACGCACUUGAAAAUAUACGCACGCGUGAGCCCACAUGAAGGGUAGCACCGAAUUAGUACCGUUCGUUCUGCGAUCGGGCAGUGCAUUGUCAAAGUUGACAAAUGACAAACGCAAUUAUCCCGUAAUCGACGAACACCCAGGGUACACUUGAGAUUUGGUAUAAGUAUUACGGCUGAGUCACAUUUCGGGCAGCCCAUAAUGACAAAGGUUUGCAAAUCACUUCUUGUAUCUGUAUCAUUCUUAGAUACUGUAUUUGUUACAGAUUAAUUUUGAAAUCAUAAUAUGAAUGAAUGUUCCAGAUGUUUUAACUGUGUGAUGUACUAAAUAUCAAGCCUGUUGAAGUGUAAUCAAAGAAAAUGUCGUACACUCAACUAAAAUAAUCCAUCACGGUAGUACAAGACCAUUGUUUAUUUUCGUCGAUAGACCUAACUUAUGGCAUGGCGUCAUUGUUCUGCUGUAUACACCUCUUGUCGAGUCAAGUACAUCCAGAUGAGCUCAAGAAUCCUCUCGUUGCAAGGACUGUCUUGUCAAAUCUUGCCAUCAAACGUUGCUUUCUGGUUCUUCGAGUGAACCACUACGUACUCUCGUAGGACAACUGAACGGCGGUAAACGUGUUAACAUCUAGUGCAUUACUUAGUCCCAAUCUUCUAACGGAAAAGUCGGGCGCGAACACCAUGUCAUACGGACCUGUUUCCCUUCCUCCGGGAGUAAAACCUACGCUUGUGGUCUUCAUCGCUGCCGGCAUUGUCUUGGCUAAUACUUUUGUCGUCCUGACGAUUGUGAAGGCCAACCGCACGCCGACCCUGAGAGGCUUCGCAAGGUUCCUGGCCAUACUCCUGGUGUGUGGAAACACCAUAUCAGUUUUGUUAGUCGUGUCCCUGGCCUUCAGCGUGACUGACCAAUGGCAGUACAGGGACACAUUCUGUCGGGUGAGUCUGUCUUUAAUACUACCACCUGUUACCUAUGCCGUGUCCUCCUAUUUGUGAUUUUAAGGGCCGGGUGGGGCGCAUUGGAAGGCAUAACUCGUCACAAUAUCUAUGUAAAGCUUGUUUGGCAUUUUUGCGUAACAAUAUGUGCAUACGUACUUCCAAAACAUGUAACGUUACCCCCCCUUUCUAUUUGAUCUCAGUUUUGCCAGAUUCCCAGGUGACUGGGAACCAUGACUGAGAACCAUGACUGGGAACCAAAGACUUCAGUGUCCAGUGCGACACAUGCCCUAAAGUUUGAUUAACUAAGAAAAGGGUGUUUAAGAAUUUUAAACAUCCUUGGUCUAUUACAAGACAAACGACGUCAAGUGAUGUACACAGUAGUAUCACUUUUCGUCUCACAUCUACUGAAAAGACUCCACAUAUAGAGGCUGUUUCUAAAUUGUAUAUUCGGUAAUGUGAAUGGCAUCUGCUGUUUUUUGUGUGACAUUUAAUCUAAUAACCAUCUUAGAUAUUUGACAGCGCUUCAAGGGCGAGCCUGACAUAUGUGCGGUUUGUAAGAAUUCUAGGACUUUCCCCUGUUUUUCCCAUGUCCAGGCAUGAGUUUUCAUUUGGAAGAAAACCCCUGAUAAGGAUACCGAGGGAUAAUCAACCUCUGAUGGAAAGAUCCUCAGUUCGACAGUGAAGAAAAAGAAAUAUCAUGAACAGGAACAUGCAAUUCUUACAGGGUUUAGUCCUCCUCUGAUCGCCUGUAGUCAAAGGCCACCGUUCCCAUGACGAUGAUUGUGUUGAUUCCUUGUUGAUUCUUUUGUUUUUCGUUGAACUAUCACACUUACAGCAAACAAUCCUGGACUCUUUCGCCUGUUAUGUGGCUACCCUGGCCAUGAUGUAUGUCGUCACCCACCCAACAAGUUUCCAACACAACAUGGAGCUCAACCCUUUCCUCGCCUUCGUUGCUGCUGCCGGGAUUCUGCCGUUUUUCCACAUCACUGGCCUUGCUCUUGUCCUGAUCUGCGACUAACAGAGGUCGACGUCGGGUCAUCAGGCUGUCAUCCCCACCAUCGUCAUCCAGUGACCGGUCAAAACGUGUCCAUCUAACGUUGUCGUGAACUCUUUGAAAGCGAGACAGAAAUACGUACCAAUAUUUCAAAGUACUGUAUGAUUUUGUAUACUAGACCAAGAUGCUGAGUGCAGUGCAUGAUAGAAGACAGAGCUUUUUGAUAAACCACUGCGCCAACCAGUUUACCAUGCAAAUGUAAACAAUCGAGCGUAGAAGGGAUUCGGAGUCUUGAGUUGGGACUACAUGAUUAUAAAUAUAAUGCAUUUUACGGUGUCACUAACGUCAAUAGCGAACUUGAAGCAAGAAAGAAUCCGGUUUCUUUAUCGGGAAGUAAUUUGACAUAUUUUCGUAGCCAUGAAGUGUCUGUUUUAGUCUCAUAUGUUAUAUACGAUACGGAAUGUAAGUCAAGUGUCAGACUGUACUUGGUACAAGCUGUAGUACAAGUGAAUGACUAACUAAAUGUAUAAGCUAUUUUGCGUGAAAGCAAAAAUGCUAAUGGCACAUAUUAAUUAAGAAACAGCAUCUCAGCUAUGCAAACACCCAAAGGCUUGAAUAGUAUACUACGAAUAUAACAAUGUUACAGCAAAAUCAUUUUUGUCCGUCUUUUGUCUGUUUCAACAUCAGUCGAGCUAACACUGCGACAAAUGGUUGCGCCAAAAUUCGAGAAGAAAGAACAAGCAUAUGUUAAACGGUCUGAUCGCACAGUUCGCCAUUGGGUGCUCAGGGAUCACUAAAGGUCGCUCAUGAGCAGCGGUCUCCACAGGACUUGCUAACAUGAUGACGUUUUUUUAUUGCUG